CAGGGGUUCCCGCUCACCACACGGGCCUCGUCCGAGAAUAAAGGGGUGUGAGGGAAGACUGUGGACUCUUGGGGUCCGAGGAGGGACAUGAGCACCCUCUCGACACUCAGCAAGGGCUCAGAGGAAAUAAGGCGCCUCCUCGAGAUAUUCCAGGGCUGUGGAAAAAGAUCAAGGGUGAAGUCUUGGAUUGCUUCCUGAACUUCGAGGAGCUCAUGCCUUUGGAGAAAACAUACUUCAGGACAUCAUCCAAGAGAAGUUCCCCGACCUAACAAGACAGGGCAACAUUUAAAUUCAGGAAAUCCAGACAACCCCAGACAAUUUCCUGGACUGCUCAUUGGGUGCCCAAAAUGUUAAUUACACUUUUGCUGAAUGAGGACACUGCUUUGACGUGAUUAGGACCACAUUUUCUAAAAUGAAGUUUCUGAUUGAAAGACUAUCAUCUGAAAAGUAGAUGUCAGGUUGGUUGCCACAGCUCCAGACAUAAAAUCUACAUGUCAGGCAGGAAGCAAGUGGAAGGAUUGCUCCAGCCCAGCCAUAUCUGCCCCCUUUUAAGGAAGAAAGUAAAAGCAUUUCAUAACCCUCAACAGUGGACAUAGGCUUGAAAUUCAUGAGCUAUGACUGAAUCACACAGUAAUUAAGAGAUGCGAUCAAGUUUAGGCAAAAAGACCUUCAGUGGGAGAAAGUAAAGUACUUUGUCCAAGGAGCUGAGAAUGACUUUCUUUGGAGACAGCA